rnacentral:rRNA from 1 species
CCUACGGGAGGCAGCAGUGAGGAAUAUUGGUCAAUGGACGAGAGUCUGAACCAGCCAAGUAGCGUGAAGGAUGACUGCCCUAUGGGUUGUAAACUUCUUUUAUAUGGGAGUAAAAUGUUCCACGUGUGGGAUUUUGUAUGUAUCAUAUGAAUAAGGAUCGACUAACUCCGUGCCAGCAGCCGCGGUAAUACGGAGGAUCCGAGCGUUAUCCGGAUUUAUUGGGUUUAAAGGGUGCGUAGGUGGAUGGUUAAGUUAGUUGUGAAAGUUUGCGGCUCAACCGUAAAAUUGCAGUUGAUACUGGCCGGCUAGAGAACAGUAGAGGUAGGCGGAAGUCGUGGUGUAGCGGUGAAAUGCUUAGAGAUCAUGAAGAACUCCGAGUGCGAAGGCAGCUCACUGGCCUGCAACUGACACUGAGGCUCGAAAGUGUGGGUAUCAAACAGGAUUAGAUACCCUAGUAGUC